rnacentral:rRNA from 1 species
UUUAGUCAGGCAACGAGCGAGACCCGUACCCACAGUUGCCAGCGGCUGCUCCGGCAGGCUGGGUACACCGUGGGGACCGCCUCUGCUAAAGAGGAGGAAGGAGCGGGCGACGGUAGGUCAGUAUGCCCCGAAUUCUCCGGGCUACACGCGGGCUACAAUGGAUGGGACAAUGGGCUCCGACACCGAAAGGUGAAGGCAAUCUCUUAAACCCAUUCUUAGUUCGGAUUGAGGGCUGCAACUCGCCCUCAUGAAGCUGGAAUCCGUAGUAAUCGCGUUUCAAAACAGCGCGGUGAAUACGUCCCUGCUCCUUGCACA